UAUUCCUGAGAAUAACCCGUGGUGGAGGCUGGAUCUGCGUCAUAUCUACAGAGUUAGUAAAGUGGUCAUCACUAAUAGAAAAGACUGCUGUGCAGAACGAAUAAACGGAACAGAGAUUCGUAUCGGAAACUCUUUGGAGAAUAAUGGCACCAACAAUCCCAUAUGUGCUGUUAUUCCUGCUAUUCCAGCAGGUGAGUCCUAUAGCUACUCAUGUGAUGGGAUGGAGGGACGUUACGUGAAUCUGAUCAUUCCUGGAGACAUGAAGACUCUCACUCUGUGUGAGGUGAAGGUCUAUGGAGAAGGUCCCUUUUUAAAAAGAUCAUUUAUAAAACUGAUGUUUGACUCCAGCAAAGAUUUGACCGACUCUACAAUGAGAGAAAGCAUUCUGAAACAGUUGGGAUCUGCUCUGGCUGAUAGAGGAUUCACAGACCUGACAUUGAGUUGGUCUCAAACCCCUUAAGAGAAAGUGAUGCGGAAAGUGAAUGCUGGCAAAAGUGAGUUUGUUCUCACAUCUGUAUAAUAACAUCUUAGUUACAUAUGGUAAUCCUCCUUCCCUGAAGGAGGGAACAGAAAUGCCACGUUGGAUGACCAAUGAAUGGGGAUCUUGCUUAGAGAGACCAAUCCACUUUGAGUGUAAACUAAACGAGUCAAUGCACAUUGGCAUGCGAUUAUUGCAUCCAG